AGCAUCGGAGAUGCCCUUGAAAACUUAUUUGUGGUCACACCUCCAAGACAGGCAGACAACAGCCUGCAGAUCUUCAGCUCGUUGUGCACGUACACCCGUGGUCGCCAGGCCUCCUAUGCGAGCAUGUAAUUUGUUGUAAAUGUCCUAUUUACGAAAAGAUAUAUGAAAUUACAACUAUUCACACGCAAUAGUUAAAUGUUGUUCCGGUCUCAAAUAGAAUCAGGGACAUUAGAGUUGCUAAGUCUGUAUGGCUUCAUCAGAUUUAUGAUUUGUAGCAUCAACGUUGCAACGGGAUCCUCCUAUCCUUUUCCAGGAGAUGACAGAUUUAAACAUGGCCAAUUAAGACUUUCAUCAGCCCUGCAUCAACAAAAUGGAAUGACGCGUAAGAUUGUAAAGUCAAAACUCACUGGUUUAGCAUAUACUGUCACUGCAGAAUCACCUGCCUGCACUGCUGCACCAUGCAAUCCACUCUACAUUUCUAGUGAAAUAAGGUACCAACCGCUGCCUGCUAAGCACAAUGGUCCAGAGCUGAGGACUUCUGACGGAAGCGUCGUAAACACCAUA
rnacentral:lncRNA from 1 species